GUGCUCGCUUGGGCAGCACAUACACUAAAACUGGAUCGAUACAGAGAUUAGCAUGGCCCCUGCACCAGAUGACCCACAAAUUUGUGACGCGUUCCAUGUUAUU